AGUUCUUCGGAACAAAGCUAGCGGCGGACGGUGAGUAACACGUGGGCAACCUGCCUCAUAGAGGGAAUAGCCUUCCGAAAGGGAGAUUAAUACCGCAUAAGAUUGUAGCUUCGCAUGAAGUAGCAAUUAAAGGAGAAAUCCGCUAUGAGAUGGGCCCGCGGCGCAUUAGCUAGUUGGUGAGGUAACGGCUCACCAAGGCGACGAUGCGUAGCCGACCUGAGAGGGUGAUCGGCCACAUUGGGACUGAGACACGGCCAGACUCC
rnacentral:rRNA from 1 species